rnacentral:rRNA from 1 species
ACACAUGCAAGUCGAACGGAGCUUAGAGAGCUUGCUUUUUAAGCUUAGUGGCGAACGGGUGAGUAACGCGUGAGUAACCUGCCCUAGAGUGGGGGACAACAGUUGGAAACGACUGCUAAUACCGCAUAAGCCCACGGUACCGCAUGGUACUGAGGGAAAAGGAUUUAUUCGCUUUAGGAUGGACUCGCGUCCAAUUAGCUAGUUGGUGAGGUAACGGCCCACCAAGGCGACGAUUGGUAGCCGGACUGAGAGGUUGAACGGCCACAUUGGGACUGAGACACGGCCCAGACUCCUACGGGAGGCAGCAGUGGGGGAUAUUGCACAAUGGGGGAAACCCUGAUGCAGCGACGCCGCGUGGAGGAAGAAGGUUUUCGGAUUGUAAACUCCUGUCGUUAGGGACGAUAAUGACGGUACCUAACAAGAAAGCACCGGCUAACUACGUGCCAGCAGCCGCGGUAAAACGUAGGGUGCAAGCGUUGUCCGGAAUUACUGGGUGUAAAGGGAGCGCAGGCGGGAAGACAAGUUGGAAGUGAAAACCAUGGGCUCAACCCAUGAAUUGCUUUCAAAACUGUUUUUCUUGAGUAGUGCAGAGGUAGAUGGAACUCCCGGUGUAGCGGUGGAAUGCGUAGAUAUCGGGAGGAACACCAGUGGCGAAGGCGG